UACAGAGGUCUCAAGCGUUGUUCGGAUUUAUUGGGCGUAAAGGGCGCGUAGGCGGCGGGGUAAGUCGGGUGUGAAAUCUCAGGGCUCAACCCUGAAACUGCACUUGAUACUGCUCUGCUUGAGGACUGGAGAGGAGACUGGAAUUCGACGGUGAUAGCGUGAAAUGCGUAGAUAGUCGUGAGGAAGACCAGUGGCUGGAAGGCGGAUCG
rnacentral:rRNA from 1 species